UACAGAGGUGGCAAGCGUUGUUCGGAAUUACUGGGCGUAAAGGGCGCGUAGGCGGCCAUCUAAGUCAGACGUGAAAUCCCCCGGCUUAACCUGGGAACUGCGUCUGAUACUGGACGGCUCGAGUAUGGGAGAGGGAUGUAGAAUUCCAGGUGUAGCGGUGAAAUGCGUAGAUAUCUGGAGGAAUACCGGUGGCGAAGGCGGCAUCCUGGACCAUUUACUGACGCUGAGGCGCGAAAGCCAGGGGAGCAAACGGG
rnacentral:rRNA from 1 species